AUUGAACGCUGGCGGCAUGCCUUACACAUGCAAGUCGAACGGCAGCGGGCCUUCGGGUGCCGGCGAGUGGCGAACGGGUGAGUAAUGCAUCGGAACGUGCCAUUGAGUGGGGGAUAACGUAGCGAGAGUUACGCUAAUACCGCAUAUUCUGUGAGCAGGAAAGCAGGGGACCGCAAGGCCUUGCGCUCUUUGAGCGGCCGAUGUCAGAUUAGCUAGUUGGUGAGGUAAAGGGCUUACCAAGGCGACGAUCUGUAGCGGGUCUGAGAGGAUGAUCCGCCACACUGGAACUGAGACACGGUCCAGACUCCUACGGGAGGCAGCAGUGGGGAAUUUUGGACAAUGGGCGCAAGCCUGAUCCAGCCAUGCCGCGUGAGUGAAGAAGGCC
rnacentral:rRNA from 1 species